CCUACGGGAGGCAGCAGUCGAGAAUCAUUCACAAUGGGGGAAACCCUGAUGGUGCGACGCCGCGUGGGGGAAUGAAGGUCUUCGGAUUGUAAACCCCUUUUAUGUGGGAGCAAAUUAACAAGAUAUUACCACAAUAGGAAGAGACGGCUAACUCUGUUCCAGCAGCCGCGGUAAUACAGAGGUCUCAAGCGUUGUUCGGAAUCACUGGGCGUAAAGGGUGCGUAGGCUGUGUCGUAAGUCGUGUGUGAAAGGCGCGGGCUCAACCCGCGGACGGCACAUGAUACUGGCAGACUAGAGUAAGGGAGGGGGAAGCGGAAUGCGUGGUGUAGCGGUGAAAUGCGUAGAUAUGGAGAGGAACACUGGUGGCGAAGGCGGGUUCCUGGACCUUAACUGACGCUGAGGCACGAAGGCCAGGGGAGCGAACGGGAUUAGAUACCCCAGUAGUC
rnacentral:rRNA from 1 species